rnacentral:rRNA from 1 species
UACGUAGGGUGCAAGCGUUGUCCGGAAUUAUUGGGCGUAAAGAGCUCGUAGGCGGUCUGUCGCGUCGGCUGUGAAAUCCCGGGGCUCAACCCCGGGCCUGCAGUCGAUACGGGCAGACUAGAGUGCGGUAGGGGAGACUGGAAUUCCUGGUGUAGCGGUGAAAUGCGCAGAUAUCAGGAGGAACACCAAUGGCGAAGGCAGAUCUCUGGGCCGUAACUGACGCUGAGGAGCGAAAGCAUGGGGAGCGAACAGG